UAGGGAAUAUUGCUAAAUGGGCGAAAGCCUGAAGCAGCAACGCCGCGUGAACGAAGAAGGCCUUCGGGUCGUAAAGUUCUUUUACGUGGGAAGAGGAAGGACAGUACCACGGGAAUAAGUCUCGGCUAACUACGUGCCAGCAGCCGCGGUAAAACGUAGGAGACGAGCGUUAUCCGGAUUUACUGGGCGUAAAGAGCGUGUAGGAGGCAAAACAAGACGGAUGUGAAAGCCCCCGGCUUAACCGGGGGAGGUCGUACGUGACUGUAGAGCUAGAGUGAGUUAGAGGUAAGCGGAACUCCGGGAGUAGUGGUGAAAUGCGUAGAUAUCCGGAAGAACAUCAGAGGCGAAAGCGGCUUACUGGGACUUAACUGACACUGAGACGCGAAAGCCAGGGUAGCAAACGGGAUUAGAGACCCCGGUAGUCCUGGCUGUAAACGAUGUAGACUGGACGUUUUCGGGGUAAAAGCUGAGAGUGUCGAAGCGAACGCGAUAAGUCUACCGCCUGGGGAGUACGGUCGCAAGAUUA
rnacentral:rRNA from 1 species